AUGUACAUGCCUACAACUUUAAUGCAUUAGAUCCCAUCAUAACUCUUUAGUUAAGCGCACUUGGGCUAGAGUAGUAUUGGGAUGGGUGAGUUCUCAGGAAGUCCUAGUGUUUUACAUG
rnacentral:rRNA from 1 species